UUUUAGAUUACUUUUCUUGUUGUGAUAUUGUGGUUUUGAUUCUUUUGUUUUAUUUUGAAUGUGGAAUAUGAUUAUUGUAUUGUAAGAUUUUGGUUUAUGAAGGUUUUAUGUGUAGUGUUGGUGUAAGGUUUUUGGAAGAGUAUGAAGUUUGGUUUGAUGAAGGUUUGUAUUCGAGUUAUGUGAGUAUGGAUGGAUUUGGUUGAGUUUGCUUUAUGUGGGAUUGUUCAUGGUGAGAGUAAGGAAGAUGGUGAAGGUGAUGUAGUAUGGUUGAAAGUGGUGGUGAAUUGGGUAUGAUUGGUUGAUGGUGUGUUGGUUUGUGAUGGAUUUGAGAAUGGUGAAAGGAUGGUAAAGGAGAUGAUAUGAUGAGU
rnacentral:lncRNA from 1 species